rnacentral:rRNA from 1 species
CAGCCGCCACGGGAAUACGAAGGGGGCUAGCGUUGCUCGGAAUGACUGGGCGUAAAGGGCGCGUAGGCGGUUCGUACAGUUGGAUGUGAAAUUCCUGGGCUUAACCUGGGGGCUGCAUUCAAUACGUGCGGGCUAGAAUGUGGAAGAGGGUUGUGGAAUUCCCAGUGUAGAGGUGAAAUUCGUAGAUAUUGGGAAGAACACCGGUGGCGAAGGCGGCAACCUGGUCCAUAAUUGACGCUGAGGCACGAAAGCGUGGGGAGCAAACAGGAUUAGAACCCCGGUAGUCCCUGUCUCUUAUACA